CUCUAAGGAGACUGCCGGUGACAAACCGGAGGAAGGUGGGGAUGACGUCAAGUCAUCAUGGCCCUUACGGCCAGGGCUACACACGUGCUACAAUGGUCGGUACAAAGGGUUGCCAAGUCGCGAGGCGGAGCUAAUCCCAGAAAACCGAUCGUAGUCCGGAUCGCAGUCUGCAACUCGACUGCGUGAAGUCGGA
rnacentral:rRNA from 1 species